AGUCGAGGGGUAUUGGUUUUCGGACCAGAGACCGGCGCACGGGUGCGUAACGCGUAUGCAAUCUACCUUUCACAGAGGGAUAGCCCAGAGAAAUUUGGAUUAAUACCUCAUAGUAUGCAGAGUUGGCAUCAACACUGCAUUAAAGUCACAACGGUGAAAGAUGAGCAUGCGUCCCAUUAGCUAGUUGGUAAGGUAACGGCUUACCAAGGCUACGAUGGGUAGGGGUCCUGAGAGGGAGAUCCCCCACACUGGUACUGAGACACGGACCAGACUCCUACGGGAGGCAGCAGUGAGGAAUAUUGGUCAAUGGGCGCAAGCCUGAACCAGCCAUGCCGCGUGCAGGAUGACGGUCCUAUGGAUUGUAAACUGCUUUUGUACAGGAAGAAACAACAUUACGUGUAAUGUCUUGACGGUACUGUAAGAAUAAGGAUCGGCUAACUCCGUGCCAGCAGCCGCGGUAAUACGGAGGAUCCAAGCGUUAUCCGGAAUCAUUGGGUUUAAAGGGUCCGUAGGCGGUUUAGUAAGUCAGUGGUGAAAGCCCAUCGCUCAACGGUGGAACGGCCAUUGAUACUGCUAGACUUGAAUUAUUAGGAAGUAACUAGAAUAUGUAGUGUAGCGGUGAAAUGCUUAGAGAUUACAUGGAAUACCAAUUGCGAAGGCAGGUUACUACUAAUGGAUUGACGCUGAUGGACGAAAGCGUGGGUAGCGAACAGGAUUAGAUACCCUGGUAGUCCACGCCGUAAACGAUGGAUACUAGCUGUUGGGAGCGAUCUCAGU
rnacentral:rRNA from 1 species